CGUGUGCGGGUCUGUGGUUGCAAGUCGAUGCCAGCCGUAGGCGAAACGACCCACGUAAGGCAACCCUUGGUUGCUGAGCAUGGUGCGGCUUAGGGGUAAGUCCUGCCCGCCGAUCGGCCGACCCUCGGCCCGGGGCGGAGAAGGGGUCAAGCGGGCCACCGCCGCAGUCCCUGUGGGGCUGCGGUGCCGGUGUUGGGUCGUGUACCGCCGCCGGCGGUCCGUGAGCCCCUCGCAGGCGAGUGUGGGGUCAAAGCCAGGUCAGCCGCACGCG
rnacentral:ncRNA from 12 species